AAUCAAUUAUUAAUGACCUUGACAUGUCGUUUGGACAAAUAUUUUUGUGGAACGAAACCCGUGUUUAAAACCAAUUACACAAUAAGUUGGUUUCUCUUAUUUGUCAACAGUCCGUAAGAUGCAUCUUCUCAUAGAAAUAGACUUGUCCAAAUGUGGACAGGUGGAAGUUCAGGACAUCAAGUUAAAGUACUGAAUAUUAACAGAUCAUUUAAAAUUUUCUUGUUUCAUAGAUAAUAAAAAAAUUUCGUCCAUUUGGAUAAAAAACGGGAAUGCGUGACAACAGAUUAACCCGAU
rnacentral:lncRNA from 1 species